rnacentral:rRNA from 1 species
CUUGUAGGCGGUUUGUCGCGUCUGCUGUGAAAGCCCGGGGCUUAACUCCGGGUCUGCAGUGGGUACGGGCAGGCUAGAGUAUGGUAGGGGAGACUGGAAUUCCUGGUGUAGCGGUGGAAUGCGCAGAUAUCAGGAGGAACACCGAUGGCGAAGGCAGGUCUCUGGGCCAUAACUGACGCUGAGAAGCGAAAGCAUGGGUAGCGAACA